AUGAACGCUAGCGGCAGGCCUAACACAUGCAAGUCGAGGGGCAUCACGAGGUAGCAAUACUUUGGUGGCGACCGGCGCACGGGUGCGUAACGCGUAUGUAACCUACCUAUAACAGGGGCAUAACACUGAGAAAUUGGUACUAAUUCCCCAUAAUAUUCGGAGAGGCAUCUCUCCGGGUUGAAAACUCCGGUGGUUAUAGAUGGACAUGCGUUGUAUUAGCUAGUUGGUGAGGUAACGGCUCACCAAGGCAACGAUACAUAGGGGGACUGAGAGGUUAACCCCCCCACACUGGUACUGAGACACGGACCAGACUCCUACGGGAGGCAGCAGUGAGGAAUAUUGGUCAAUGGACGCAAGUCUGAACCAGCCAUGCCGCGUGCAGGAAGACGGCUCUAUGAGUUGUAAACUGCUUUUGUACGAGGGUAAACUCACCUACGUGUAGGUGACUGAAAGUAUCGUACGAAUAAGGAUCGGCUAACUCCGUGCCAGCAGCCGCGGUAAUACGGAGGAUUCAAGCGUUAUCCGGAUUUAUUGGGUUUAAAGGGUGCGUAGGCGGUUUGAUAAGUUAGAGGUGAAAUCCCGGGGCUUAACUCCGGAACUGCCUCUAAUACUGUUAGACUAGAGAGUAGUUGCGGUAGGCGGAAUGUAUGGUGUAGCGGUGAAAUGCUUAGAGAUCAUACAGAACACCGAUUGCGAAGGCAGCUUACCAAACUAUAUCUGACGUUGAGGCACGAAAGCGUGGGGAGCAAACAGGAUUAGAUACCCUGGUAGUCCACGCAGUAAACGAUGAUAACUCGUUGUCGGCGAUACACAGUCGGUGACUAAGCGAAAGCGAUAAGUUAUCCACCUGGGGAGUACGUUCGCAAGAAUGAAACUCAAAGGAAUUGACGGGGGCCCGCACAAGCGGAGGAACAUGUGGUUUAAUUCGAUGAUACGCGAGGAACCUUACCCGGGCUUGAAUUGCAACUGAAUGAUGUGGAGACAUGUCAGCCGCAAGGCAGUUGUGAAGGUGCUGCAUGGUUGUCGUCAGCUCGUGCCGUGAGGUGUCGGGUUAAGUCCCAUAACGAGCGCAACCCCUACCGUUAGUUGCCAUCAGGUCAAGCUGGGCACUCUGGCGGGACUGCCGGUGUAAGCCGAGAGGAAGGUGGGGAUGACGUCAAAUCAGCACGGCCCUUACGUCCGGGGCUACACACGUGUUACAAUGGUAGGUACAGAGGGUCUCUACCCCGCGAGGGGAUGCCAAUCUCGAAAGCCUAUCUCAGUUCGGAUUGGAGGCUGAAACCCGCCUCCAUGAAGUUGGAUUCGCUAGUAAUCGCGCAUCAGCCAUGGCGCGGUGAAUACGUUCCCGGGCCUUGUACACACCGCCCGUCAAGCCAUGGAAGCUGGGGGUGCCUGAAGUUCGUGACCGCAAGGAGCGACCUAGGGCAAAACCGGUAACUGGGGCU
rnacentral:rRNA from 1 species